rfam:Populus trichocarpa scaffold_1_contig_25, whole genome shotgun sequence.
UGGGGGCAGAUGCAUCAUGUGUUUUAAUGAGUAAUUUUCAUCUGAAUAUCGUUGAUGCUGUAACACCUUGGAGACCUAAUGCCCUUG